rnacentral:rRNA from 1 species
GACCAGACUCCUACGGGAGGCAGCAGUGGGGGAUAUUGCACAAUGGGGGAAACCCUGAUGCAGCGACGCCGCGUGAGUGAAGAAGUACUUCGUUACGUAAAGCUCUAUCAGCAGGGAAGAAAAUGACGGUACCUGACUAAGAAGCCCCGGCUAACUACGUGCCAGCAGCCGCGGUAAUACGUAGGGGGCAAGCGUUAUCCGGAAUUACUGGGUGUAAAGGGAGCGCAGACGGCAGUGCAAGUCUGGAGUGAAAGCCCGUAGCUUAACUACGGGACUGCUCUGGAAACUGUGCAGCUAGAGUGCAGGAGAGGCAGGCGGAAUUCCUAGUGUAGCGGUGAAAUGCGUAGAUAUACGGAGGAACACCAGUGGCGAAGGCGGCCUGCUGGACAUUAACUGACGCUGAGGCGCGAAAGCGUGGGGAGCAAACAGGAUUAGAUACCCUUGUAA